UGUAGAAGCCCUGGGCACCUUCUGUAGAAGUAGAUAGGAGCGGGUAUCAGGCACACCAUAUUGUAGCCCAAGACGCCUUGCAUUUGCCACGCCCCCACGGGUCCACAGCAGUAGUAAACAUUAAGCAAUGAGUGUAAACUUGACUUAGUCAUAGCAAAUUAGGGUUGGUAAAUCCUGUGCCAGCCACCGCGGUCAUACAGGAGACCCGAAUUAACUUUAUAACGGCGUAAAGAGUGGUCACAUGCUAUCCGACUAGCUAAGAUUAAAAAGCAACUGAGCCGUAAUAAGCUAAAGAUGCUCAUAAGGCCUCCGACUGUAAAGAAGAUCUUAGUACAACGAUUAAUUGAACUCCACGAAAGCCAGGGCCCAAACUGGGAUUAGAUACCCCACUAUGCCUGGCCCUAAAUCUUGAUGCCUCACCCCCUACUCAAGCAUCCGCCCGAGAACUACGAGCACAAACGCUUAAAACUCUAAGGACUUGGCGGUGCCCCAAACCCACCUAGAGGAGCCUGUUCUGUAAUCGAUGAUCCACGAUACACCUUACCAUUUCUUGCAAAACUCAGCCUAUAUACCGCCGUCGCCAGUCCACCCUCCCUGACGGUUCAACAGUGGGCGCAAUAGCCUAACCACGCUAAUAAGACAGGUCAAGGUAUAGCCUAUGGAAUGGAAGCAAUGGGCUACAUUUUCUAGAUUAGAACAUAACGGCAAAGGGGCAUGAAAUAGCCCCUGGAAGGCGGAUUUAGCAGUAAAGAGGGACAAUCGAGCCCUCUUUAAGCCGGCCCUGGGGCACGUACAUACCGCCCGUCACCCUCCUCACAGGCGACCAAACCCUCAUAUACCUUAAUAAGCUAAUCAGCUGAAGAGGAGGUAAGUCGUAACAAGGUAAGUGUACCGGAAGGUGCACUUAGACUAC
rnacentral:ncRNA from 1 species